ensembl:lncRNA
GCAGGCAGUGGGCGCAAGCGCAGAGGUUUAUUAACCAGGAGUGAUCAGAGCAGGGGUAUGGGGUCCUGCCAGCCGGAGGAUGGCAGGGGAGGCAGUGGGCAGAGCUCAAGCAAGGAGGAAGAAGCUAAUUCUGCUCUUUAGGGUCACAGCCAGCAGGCAGGGGAGUCAGGGGCCCAGUCCAGUGCCCACCUUACCACCCACGGAGCCUCCCCGGGCAGCAUUUGCAUAGUGACCAGCCAACUGGCCUGGGCCUGACCAAGAGCCCAUAGGUUUGGAGACCCAGCCUCCAUCCUGGCUCCUUCAGAAAAAGGGAAUUUGAAGGCAUUGGCGGACCCACAAGUGAGGGACAGACCUCUGGAGGGGGCCCAGCCCCUGAGGCAAGGCCAGCCAGGAGGCAGGGGAAGAGGUAUGCAGCCUCCCCGCAGUGGCAGGCAGAGCCAGGGUCAGGAUGGUCCUCGCAAGUCCACAGAAAAGAGACGCAGACAAGAACGAGGUCAUUGUAGAAAAUCCACUCAGUGGGUAACAAAGAACAUUGGGCAUGGGGUGGGAAGGGCCAGUUGCUUUAUGCACAGGCUCUGGGCCUAGUGCCAGAGAUUUGCCUCUGGAAGAGGCAGGGACAGGUCUGGCACUGGGGGCUGGCACGGCUGGCCACAUGGCCAUGGGACGCCCGCAUCCAGCCAGGGCAGGGACCCCAGACCAGAACCCAUCCACCCAGCACCCGCGAAGCCCAGCCUGGAUGCUGGGUCACUAAGUGAGGUACUUGGGUUGGUUCCCUGGAUGGGCCACACUCCUGCCUGGGAAGGCACUGGGGUCAGCCACCAGCCCCAGGCCCAGGAGGGGCUCUGGGGGAAUAGGAGGACCCAGCUAGCGGGUCAGUGCUCUGGGGCAGUGAAGGUGGAAUACCAGGUGACACAGGCCCUGAGGGCAGAGGGGCACGAGGUGACUUGGGAUCCAAGAGUGGUUUGUGAGCAACCCGGGCUCCCAGAGAAGGGGCCACCUGAGGCCAGAGGGUCCUCAGGUGGGGUGAGGGACACCAGAUGAUGCAGCACUCCCCAAAACGUGGGGCUUCGAAAGACUCGGUGCUGGAGUGCCCCUCCCAUCCCGAGGUCCAGGCACUGGAGGGAGGGACGAGCAGGCAGGUGGGCUCCGAGAGCGCCCGGGCCCCGGGGCUGUCGGGAGGGGCCCACGGUCCACACGCAUAGGGCCGGGGCUGAGCUGGGGCCAGGGUCUUCAGGGGCAUGCAGGGUGUCCAGGCCGGGCGGGCAGUGGUCCCACAGCUGCCCGGCCGGCCCGGCCCUAGCUCUCCUCCAGGUGGAGGCCAAUGAAUUCCUGGAUGCACCUGCGGUACUGGAGCUCAGUGGGGCUGAUGCCCGCCAGUGGACCCGGCUGGCCCGAGGGCGCCUCGGCCUCACGCAUCUCCUCAGCCAUGCGGGCCAAACGGAGCCUGGGGGAGGGCGCAGGGUGAGGCCCCGCCCGCCCGCAGAGGCUCCGUCCUUGCUGCACCGUCCCCGCCCCCAAGGCCGAGCUCACAGUGUGACAAUGUCGGCAUUGGCCGCCUGCACAGCUAUGCUCAGCGGGUCCUGCUGCUGCUCGUCCAGGGCGUGCUGAUCAGCUCCUCGCUUCAGGAACAGGCAGACCUGGCUAGGGGCAGACGGCCGUGUCGCGGCGGGCCGGGGCCGGGGCCGGGACAGGGGGACUGACCGGGCAGCGCGGACUCACCCGGUGCGGCCAAGGAGCGUGGCAUGGUGCAGUGGCGCGCGGCCCCUGCUGUCUCUUUGGUUCACAUCAGCUCCGUUUUGCAGAAGAAAUUCACAGAUGAUCAAGGAGCCCUGAGGAGCGCGUGUGGGGGUCAGACUGAGCCGGGAAGCGGCCCCCGCCCGCGGGCGCGCACGCUGUCCGGCUCACCCCCAGCACCGCCUGCACCAGCGGAGUCUUGCCCUCGUCUUCCGCGUCCGCCCAGUUGACCUCAGCCCCGUGGGCCAGCGCCGCGGCCAGUGCGGGGAGGUCGCGGGUGCGCGCCGCGCGGCUCCAGGCCUCCGCCUCCCCAUCCGCCUCACCGCUGGACUCCUCGGACUCCGCACCCUCUGCGGGGAGGGGGCGGCUAGACUGCGCCAGCGAAGGGCGGCCGGGUCCGGGGCUGGGGCUGUGGCGGGGAAGAGGGCGCCACCCACCCUCCUCGGUGACGCUGUCCACCACCGAGCCCGCGCCGAAGGCCAGGACAUCGGAGCUGCCGUCAGAGCUGCCCCCCAGGCCACUGUCGCUGCUCAGACCUGCAGGACCGCACGGGGAGGGGUUCAACUCCCAGGGAAAGUUGGGGGAAGGCUGGAGCCCCAACCGCCCUCCAGGGGACACUCCCAAGGGGAGGUCCAGCCCUCUCUGGGAGGUCAGGGGAGUCCUGGCAGGAGAGGAAACCAGAAACAGUGCAGGGAGCUCUGCCGAGCAGGCGGGCGGCUCAGGUCUUCCUCCAGACCGCAAGGUUCAGGCCCCAAAGGAGGAACCAGAGGAUUAGGGCGAGUGAAGCAGCGCCCUCUGCUGCCUGGCACCCAGCCUCACUCCAGGAGCACACAGCAGCGCCCCGCCGUAAGGCUCCGGGGAGCACAAGGCCUGCGCGUUCACACACGUCCACGCAUCUUCACAGUCUCCAGCCCAAGAUAUCCCCAGUCCUCUAGAUGCCCUUCCAGGCUUAGCUGGCUGACGCCCCAAUUCUCCUGCCCGGCCCCAUCCCUCCUCCAGGGGAUACACGUCCUUGCAGUCCCUGAGCAGACCCAGUCCACACUGGUCCACUCGCCUGGCCCCUCUUCUGCAACCCUGCCGGGGUGACAGCCAAGGGGCAGGCAGCAGGGCGGCCGGCACUUACUGCGUGGACCAGCCCCCGCAGCCCCUGCAUCGAAGUAGGAGAACAGAGAGUCCAGCUCGUCUGGGCAGAAGAGGGAGUCCCGGCGGAACCUGCGCUCCAGAGUCCCUGCUGCAGGAGGCAGCUGCUUUCACAUGGGGAAACCGAUGCCCCGGCGGGGCAGGUCCCUGUCAUGCUGGCAGAGGAGCAGAACUCCAAGGUGCUCCCGGAGGCCCUUCCUGCCCACCCGGACCGAGACUUGCAGCUUGCCCCACCCCCCACGCAGCCGCAGGGAGCCCAUCCUCAGUGCUGCCCUACCUGAGGUGCAGGCUCCUACCUGAAGACAGAGCAGCCAAGGAGGGAAGGACCGGCUCGAGUCGGGCCUUUCGGCGGGUGGGGGGGUCGGGGGGAGCUGUGGGGGCGCUGGCACUUCUGUCCUCGCCAGUGCCUCGGGGCUUCCAGGGUGGGUACUGUGGGCAGUUUCCCAAGGAACUUCUUCUCCACGUACUUGUCUUUGAUCCAGGCUUCCUUGUCCUGUCUGGACCAGGACAGAUGUGAGCUGCAUUCACAGGUGGGGGCUCCCUGGCCCAUGCUAGGCUGUACCCCACCUCACCUGGGGCUGCUGGCUGUGGGCUUCCUG